AACGAACGCUGGCGGCAUGCCUAACACAUGCAAGUCGAACGAGACCUUCGGGUCUAGCGGCGCACGGGUGCGUAACGCGUGGGAACCUGCCCUUAGGUUCGGAAUAACUCCCCGAAAGGGGUGCUAAUACCGGAUAAUGUCUUCGGACCAAAGAUUUAUCGCCUUUGGAUGGGCCCGCGUUGGAUUAGCUAGUUGGUAGGGUAAAAGCCUACCAAGGCGACGAACCAUAGCUGGUCUGAGAGGAUGAUCAGCCACACUGGGACUGAGACACGGCCCAGACUCCUACGGGAGGCAGCAGUGGGGAAUAUUGGACAAUGGGCGAAAGCCUGAUCCAGCAAUGCCGCGUGAGUGAUGAAGGCCUUAGGGUUGUAAAGCUCUUUUACCCGGGAUGAUAAUGACAGUACCGGGAGAAUAAGCUCCGGCUAACUCCGUG
rnacentral:rRNA from 1 species